rnacentral:rRNA from 1 species
GAUAGAAAAUAGGUGCCCGUACCGCAAACCGACACAGGUAGUCAAGAUGAGAAUUCUAAGGUGAGCGAGCGACCUCUCGUUAAGGAACUAUCCAGAGAUUUCCGAAUGGGGAAACCCAGCAUGAGUUAUGUCAUGUUAUCGAUAUGUGAAUACAUAGCAUAUCAGAAGGCACACCCGGAGAACUGAAACAUCUUAGUACCCGGAGGAAGAGAAAGAAAAUUCGAUUCCCUUAGUAGCGGCGAGCGAAACGGGAAGAGCCCAAACCAACAAGCUUGCUUGUUGGGGUUGUAGGACACUCUAUACGGAGUUACAAAGGACGACAUUAGACGAAUCAUCUGGAAAGAUGAAUCAAAGAAGGUAAUAAUCCUGUAGUCGAAAAUGUUGUCUCUCUUGAGUGGAUCCUGAGUACGACGGAGCACGUGAAAUUCCGUCGGAAUCUGGGAGGACCAUCUCCUAAGGCUAAAUACUCUCUAGUGACCGAUAGUGAACCAGUACCGUGAGGGAAAGGUGAAAAGCACCCCGGAAGGGGAGUGAAAUAGAACCUGAAACCGUGUGCUUACAAGUAGUCAGAGCCCGUUAAUGGGUGAUGGCGUGCCUUUUGUAGAAUGAACCGGCGAGUUACGAUUUGAUGCAAGGUUAAGCAGUAAAUGUGGAGCCGUAGCGAAAGCGAGUCUGAAUAGGGCGUUUAGUAUUUGGUCGUAGACCCGAAACCAGGUGAUCUACCCUUGGUCAGGUUGAAGUUCAGGUAACACUGAAUGGAGGACCGAACCGACUUACGUUGAAAAGUGAGCGGAUGAACUGAGGGUAGCGGAGAAAUUCCAAUCGAACCUGGAGAUAGCUGGUUCUCUCCGAAAUAGCUUUAGGGCUAGCCUCAAGUGAUGAUUAUUGGAGGUAGAGCACUGUUUGGACGAGGGGCCCCUCUCGGGUUACCGAAUUCAGACAAACUCCGAAUGCCAAUUAAUUUAACUUGGGAGUCAGAACAUGGGUGAUAAGGUCCGUGUUCGAAAGGGAAACAGCCCAGACCACCAGCUAAGGUCCCAAAAUAUAUGUUAAGUGGAAAAGGAUGUGGCGUUGCCCAGACAACUAGGAUGUUGGCUUAGAAGCAGCCAUCAUUUAAAGAGUGCGUAAUAGCUCACUAGUCGAGUGACACUGCGCCGAAAAUGUACCGGGGCUAAACAUAUUACCGAAGCUGUGGAUUGUCCUUUGGACAAUGGUAGGAGAGCGUUCUAAGGGCGUUGAAGCAUGAUCGUAAGGACAUGUGGAGCGCUUAGAAGUGAGAAUGCCGGUGUGAGUAGCGAAAGACGGGUGAGAAUCCCGUCCACCGAUUGACUAAGGUUUCCAGAGGAAGGCUCGUCCGCUCUGGGUUAGUCGGGUCCUAAGCUGAGGCCGACAGGCGUAGGCGAUGGAUAACAGGUUGAUAUUCCUGUACCACCUAUAAUCGUUUUAAUCGAUGGGGGGACGCAGUAGGAUAGGCGAAGCGUGCGAUUGGAUUGCACGUCUAAGCAGUAAGGCUGAGUAUUAGGCAAAUCCGGUACUCGUUAAGGCUGAGCUGUGAUGGGGAGAAGACAUUGUGUCUUCGAGUCGUUGAUUUCACACUGCCGAGAAAAGCCUCUAGAUAGAAAAUAGGUGCCCGUACCGCAAACCGACACAGGUAGUCAAGAUGAGAAUUCUAAGGUGAGCGAGCGAACUCUCGUUAAGGAACUCGGCAAAAUGACCCCGUAACUUCGGGAGAAGGGGUGCUCUUUAGGGUUAACGCCCAGAAGAGCCGCAGUGAAUAGGCCCAAGCGACUGUUUAUCAAAAACACAGGUCUCUGCUAAACCGUAAGGUGAUGUAUAGGGGCUGACGCCUGCCCGGUGCUGGAAGGUUAAGAGGAGUGGUUAGCUUCUGCGAAGCUACGAAUCGAAGCCCCAGUAAACGGCGGCCGUAACUAUAACGGUCCUAAGGUAGCGAAAUUCCUUGUCGGGUAAGUUCCGACCCGCACGAAAGGCGUAACGAUUUGGGCACUGUCUCAACGAGAGACUCGGUGAAAUCAUAGUACCUGUGAAGAUGCAGGUUACCCGCGACAGGACGGAAAGACCCCGUGGAGCUUUACUGUAGCCUGAUAUUGAAAUUCGGCACAGCUUGUACAGGAUAGGUAGGAGCCUUUGAAACGUGAGCGCUAGCUUACGUGGAGGCGCUGGUGGGAUACUACCCUAGCUGUGUUGGCUUUCUAACCCGCACCACUUAUCGUGGUGGGAGACAGUGUCAGGCGGGCAGUUUGACUGGGGCGGUCGCCUCCUAAAAGGUAACGGAGGCGCUCAAAGGUUCCCUCAGAAUGGUUGGAAAUCAUUCAUAGAGUGUAAAGGCAUAAGGGAGCUUGACUGCGAGACCUACAAGUCGAGCAGGGUCGAAAGACGGACUUAGUGAUCCGGUGGUUCCGCAUGGAAGGGCCAUCGCUCAACGGAUAAAAGCUACCCCGGGGAUAACAGGCUUAUCUCCCCCAAGAGUUCACAUCGACGGGGAGGUUUGGCACCUCGAUGUCGGCUCAUCGCAUCCUGGGGCUGUAGUCGGUCCCAAGGGUUGGGCUGUUCGCCCAUUAAAGCGGUACGCGAGCUGGGUUCAGAACGUCGUGAGACAGUUCGGUCCCUAUCCGUCGUGGGCGUAGGAAAUUUGAGAGGAGCUGUCCUUAGUACGAGAGGACCGGGAUGGACAUACCUCUGGUGUACCAGUUGUCGUGCCAACGGCAUAGCUGGGUAGCUAUGUGUGGACGGGAUAAGUGCUGAAAGCAUCUAAGCAUGAAGCCCCCCUCAAGAUGAGAUUUCCCAACUUCGGUUAUAAGAUCCCUCAAAGAUGAUGAGGUUAAUAGGUUCGAGGUGGAAGCAUGGUGACAUGUGGAGCUGACGAAUACUAAUCGAUCGAAGACUUAAUCAA